ensembl:lncRNA
AGUAUAUACUUAAAUGUACGGUGCUGCAUUCCAAGCAUACGUUUUCCUUAACUAAAAAGGAGAGGUUGAGUUUACCAUAUAAGGAAUCUCCAUUAGAGUGGGAUCAAGACGUGAGGUCAUGUCACUCAGGACCUUGAACUAAAAUAUGUCCUCAUGACAGACUGACGUGUGUAAAAUUAGCUGACAGGUCAGUCCAAGUGUCAGCCUACUUUCGGUUUGAGGGAAGCUUCAUAAUGCAAUGUUCAGAAUACUGAAGAAUAUCAGAUAUUGUGGAGGAUUUGGAGGAUAUUACACGUCAUUAAUCAAUUUUGAAUGAACAAAAACACUUGGAAAUGGUUGCGGGAGCCUGAAGUCUAACCCAGGGGACUUGGGACACCUGGGGGGGGACACCCCGGACAGCGUACCAACUGAUCGCAGGGCACAAUCAUACACACACUCAUACACUACGGACAAUUUAAAAAUGCCAAUCAGCCUACAAUGCGUGUAUUUGGACUUGGGGAGGAAACCGCCAAAGCAUGGGGAGAACAUGCAAACUCCAUGCACAUAGGAGGCAAGACUCAAAUCCCCAUCCAUGGAGGUUCACGGGGAACCUGGAGCCUAUCCCAGGAAGCAUCGGGUACAAGGUGGGGUACACCCUGGACAGGAUGCCAGUCCAUUGCAGGGCACACUCACACACACAUUCAUACACUACGGACACUUUAGACACGCCAAUCAGCCUACCAUGCAUGUCUUUGGACUGGGGGAGGAAACCGG